UACGUAGGGGGCUAGCGUUGUCCGGAUUUAUUGGGCGUAAAGAGCGUGUAGGCGGCCAGGUAGGUCUGCUGUGAAAACUCGAGGCUCAACCUCGAGAUGUCGGCGGAAACCACUUGGCUAGAGCCCGGAAGAGGAGAGUGGAAUUCCUGGUGUAGCGGUGAAAUGCGCAGAUAUCAGGAAGAACACCUAUGGCGAAGGCAGCUCUCUGGGACGGUACUGACGCUGAGACGCGAAAGCGUGGGGAGCGAACAGG
rnacentral:rRNA from 1 species